rfam:Oryza sativa (indica cultivar-group) chromosome 7, whole genome shotgun sequence.
AAUAAAUGCAGUUUUGUAUUAUUUAUCUCCAACGUUUGAUCAUUCGUCUUAUUUAAAAAAAAUUUAUGAUUACUAUUUUUAUUGUUAUUAGAUGAUAAAACAUAAAAAGUACUUUAUGUGUGACUAAUUUUUUUAAAUUUUUUCAUAAAUUUUUCAAAUAAGACGGACGGUCAAACAUUGGACACGGAUUUUUACGGCUGCACUUAUU